UUUUCUUUUUUUUUUUUUUUUUUUUUAGCAGACGUCUCACUCUUGUCGCCCAGGCUGGAGUGUAAUGGCAUGAUCUCGCCUCACUGCAACCUCCACCUCCUGGGUUCAAGCAAUUCUCCUGUCUCAGCCUCCCGAGUAGCUGGGACUACAGGCACUCAUCACCACACCUGGCUAAUUUUUGUAUUUUUAGUAUUUUCUGGUGAGGGUCCAGGUUUCCGGAAACAACUCAGAGACAUAUGUUAAGAUGUUAUCUUUAGUUUUCACAGGGAACCAAAUAUGUUACGACUCCAAUUUCCUUGGCUAUUGUUUUAAGUUACCAUUACCUUCUCGUUGAUCAAGUUGCUCAUUUACUUCUCAAGCCUAGCUAGAUGCCUGGAAUUUCCCUUGAAGGAAGUCAAGAUUUUCCUUUAUCUCCAUACUGGCUGAUGGUGAUCGAGUAAGCCCCUAAGAGGGGUCCCUGCUCCAUCUCGAGAUGCUGCUAGAUUCUACAGUGCCUAAUAAACAGCUCUCGCCUGGCCGACAAAGAGCUGCUUGCUCUCUGGAUAGCAAUUCCAAAGUGAACAGACAACAUCCUGUUUGGAAGACUGCCACUCUGUUAGAAGAAGCAUCAGGAAAACCUUUCUUUUGAGCUAUUUAUAACUAACAGCAAUUGACCAAGUAUACUUUUGAACCAUUGGAGAUACUCAUUACUCUUUGAAGGCUUACAGUGGAAUGAAUUCAAAUACGACUUAUUUGAGGAAUUGAAGUUGACUUUAUGGAGCUGAUAAGAAUCUUCUUGGAGAAAAAAAGACUGGUACUUCUGAAUUAACCAAAAUCACAGUAUUCUGAAGAUGAUUCUACAAAGCCUGCUGUUUCUACAAAGGCUGCUGAUGAUUUCUACAAAGCCUGCUGUAGUGUUGCUGUGGCCUCUGCUUAAAAAAGUAGAAAACACAUUGAUGCAGCAUGUUCACCCCAACCUCCCUGCCUAAAGGCUCAGGGACCAUCUUGGAAGAGGAAGGCGCGUGAGAUUGUAAGAGCCGAAUUAGGGGGAUGGAGUGUGGAGAAUAAGGACACUUCAUCUUGGAUGCUCACCUGCCAAAUUGACUUCUGAUGAAAGCCAGCUCCAGAAAUGUGCCUACAGUUACUACUUUCACCUAAACCCUGCCCUUAGUCAAAUCCUUCUCUUCUUCUAAGCAAUCAACUUCAAUUCCUUGUAUAACCCACAGUAUAAAAGGGCUUUUAUACCAUUCUAUCCUAUUGCAUGUAAGCCUUGGGUCUGGGAGGUAACAGUGUGGGAUUCCACCAUCUCAUCUCCCUGCCACCCAAACAUGCCUGCUCUUCUUUAAGCAAUAUUAAAUGUUUGUACUUCAGAAA
rnacentral:lncRNA from 1 species